rnacentral:rRNA from 1 species
CAACCUUCCGUACACUCAGGGAUAGCCUUUCGAAAGAAAGAUUAAUACCUGAUGGUAUGAUGAGAUUGCAUGAUAUCAUCAUUAAAGAUUUAUCGGUGUACGAUGGGGAUGCGUUCCAUUAGGUAGUAGGCGGGGUAACGGCCCACCUAGCCAACGAUGGAUAGGGGUUCUGAGAGGAAGGUCCCCCACAUUGGAACUGAGACACGGUCCAAACUCCUACGGGAGGCAGCAGUGAGGAAUAUUGGUCAAUGGACGAGAGUCUGAACCAGCCAAGUAGUGUGAAGGAUGAAGGUCCUACGGAUUGUAAACUUCUUUUAUAAGGGAAUAACCCUCCCGCGUGCGGGAGCUUGUAUGUACCUUAUGAAUAAGCAUCGGCUAACUCCGUGCCAGCAGCCGCGGUAAUACGGAGGAUGCGAGCGUUAUCCGGAUUUAUUGGGUUUAAAGGGAGCGCAGACGGGUCGUUAAGUCAGCUGUGAAAGUUUGGGGCUCAACCUUAAAAUUGCAGUUGAUACUGGCGUCCUUGAGUGCGGUUGAGGUGUGCGGAAUUCGUGGUGUAGCGGUGAAAUGCUUAGAUAUCACGAAGAACUCCGAUUG